rnacentral:tRNA from 1 species
GGCGGAGUGGCAGAGUGUUUAUGCUGCGAAAGGUGCAACUUUCGUAUAGGUCGGUUCAAAUCCGUGCCUCCGCCU